UCGACGUCCCCUUCUCAUUCCACUACCCUCUACCUCCUUGUACAGUUUAUGGUACUCUGACAGGGAACUCUUAUCCUCCUCAGGGGUGUUUUCCUUCCUUGGCCUUAACAGACGGUACGGUUCACUUGUCAGUGUUUGAACUUGCUGGACACCAGCCACCCCUACACUGCACACUUUCUUGUGGAGCUCAGUUGUCAACCUGACAGUUUUUGGCACUUUAAAGUUGCUUUGCUUUUCACUGGUGAAUUUUUUGCCUGAAUUCCAAGCUUUAUGUCCCAUUCUAAAAGAUGUUAUCGAAUUCCUUCGAUGUCUCCCCAUGUUUCAAGAGUAGGUUCAAGAUGUUGACACUAUGAAUUUUUCUUUGGAAUGAAAGCAUCAACAUUGGUUCUUGACCUCCCAUAGUUAAAAUACCAAAUAUGGACCUGUCAUUUAUAUAUUGGCCUAUGUAAACAAGGCAGGGGUACCAGUUCCAGCAAGCUCACUGAGUCCAGCUUCUUUUAUGACUUAAGCUUAUUAGUGUCACAACCAAAUUCCAUGUUAUGUACCAGACUUUGCUAUCCUCAGUUGUUAUCAGCAAAGGUCAGCAAACAACUCACCAUUAAUAAAUUAAAAAUAUGAAAGCCUAAUUUGUUUUGAAUUUCCAAGUAUUGUCUAUCA